GGAAUAUAGCUCAGUUGGUAGAGUGCUUGCCUCUUCUGCACAAAGCCCUAUGUUCAAUCCUCAGUACCA
rnacentral:tRNA from 1 species